ensembl:lncRNA
GAGGCCGUGGGGGGCAGAGCCUUUAAUAAAGGACUGAAAAUGAGUUAUAAAAGAGAAAGUGAGAGUCUCAGCAGCUGAGAAGAGAAUUCAGAGCUUCAGACGCCUGCAGAGAAGCUGGAGAUGAAGAUGAGCUGUGUGUGUUUGGUGCUGGGGCUGGUCCUGCUGAUGACCGUCUCCUCAGACGCUACCGGUGGUUCCAAUGCCCAUCCUUAUCCCUGCUGUUACAGCUUCAUCACUCUUAAAAUUCCAGAACAAGAAAUACUAAAAAUUGAAAAAACACAUUCUGACUGCCCAAAGCCCGGCUUUGUGGUUACAACUCCGAGGGGCAAUUUCUGCAAGAAAAAUCUCUGCGGCGAAAAAUAACAUCAGCAUUUAGGUUUCAGUGCUAGAGCUUCUGUGCAAUAAAGAAUGUUUUGCUACUUCUUAUGUCACUUAUGCUUUUUUUAUACUGUGGAUUCAAAUAAAAC